UGUUGCACGACUGUAUUCUAGAGGGAGUUUCAACAAUAAUUAAAGUAGUCCUAGAUGUGGAAUAAGUGGUUCAGGGAAUGGAUCACCUUGUUCUUAACAGGCUGGCUGAAUGCCUAUUGUUAUGGCUAGCAGGGUUAAAAAUAGUUUAAUCUUUGAAGCAGGUUAAACAAAUUCUUUGGAAUGUUAUUUAUCCUGGGAACUUGCCUGGAAAUUCCACAAUUCAAGAAUUCUGAAUUAGUGAAGGCCAAUGUGAUUUACUAUAUUCCCUAGGUCAAUUGUAAAGGCUGCAUUUUCUUUUGCAUUAUUUCUGGCCAGAAAUCACCUCCAACACCAGUUCUACCUUCUAUCACUUACAUACCUGUUUAUAGCUGUGGUGACAUGCUUGCUGAUAAUUUGUUCUCAUCUGUCUACUCCAAGUCUGUCCUGGCCAGGUGUUGUGAUCUUAAACCAAGAAUUUUUAUCGAAGUCCUGUCCCUGUCCCACCAUCCCAUCUCUGGGCCUCAUUAACAAGGGAGUAUGGACACUGCUACUUUGUAAAUGCCAUUAUUUUAACUACUAAUAAGCUGAGCUACAUCAGAGAGAAGCCGGAGGCAGAGGAUUAAAGGAAAAGGAAGAUCAGAAAUCUUUGUCCUUCACCACCAGGUCUAGGAAUAAAAGACAUAGA
rnacentral:lncRNA from 1 species